UAUUCCAGCAGCCGCGGUAAUACGUUCCCGGGUCUUGUACACACCGCCCGUCACACCACGAGAGUUUACAACACCCGAAGUCGGUGGGGUAACCCGCAAGGGAGCCAGCCGCCGAAGGUGGGGUAGAUGAUUGGGGUGAAGUCGUAACAAGGUAGCCGUAUCGGAAGGUGCGGCUGGAUCACCUCCUUUCUAUGGAGAUCAUGUCGGCAGCAGGUCGGCAGAUCAAUCUGACCGCAAGGUCAUCCGCGUUUCUCACUCGUGUUCAGUUUUGAAGGUGCUGAUGCAUCUUCAAAUGUACAAUUGCACCUUGAAAACUGGAUAGCGAAAGCAAAAGCGAUUGAAGCAUCAAUGAUGAAUUCAUUGGAGUAGCCGAAGUGAGGAUAGUGGAGAAGAACUUCCAAUAGAUCAGGUUUUACUUGCCCCUAAUGGAACGACAACUCCGCAACCAUCCGACAAGGUUAAGCUAAUGAAGGCACACGGAGGAUACCUAGGCACACAGAGA
rnacentral:sRNA from 1 species